AUCACAUUGCCAGGGAUUACCGC
rnacentral:miRNA from 1 species